CCUAACACAUGCAAGUCGAGGGGCAUCGGGAUUGAAGCUUGCUUCAAUUGCCGGCGACCGGCGCACGGGUGCGUAACGCGUAUGUAACCUACCUAUAACAGGGGCAUAACACUGAGAAAUUGGUACUAAUUCCCCAUAAUAUUCGGAGAGGCAUCUCUCCGGGUUGAAAACUCCGGUGGUUAUAGAUGGACAUGCGUUGUAUUAGCUAGUUGGUGAGGUAACGGCUCACCAAGGCAACGAUACAUAGGGGGACUGAGAGGUUAACCCCCCACACUGGUACUGGGACACGGACCAGACUCCUACGGGAGGCAGCAGUGAGGAAUAUUGGUCAAUGGACGCAAGUCUGAACCAGCCAUGCCGCGUGCAGGAAGACGGCUCUAUGAGUUGUAAACUGCUUUUGUACGAGGGUAAACUCACCUACGUGUAGGUGACUGAAAGUAUCGUACGAAUAAGGAUCGGCUAACUCCGUGCCAGCAGCCGCGGUAAUACGGAGGAUUCAAGCGUUAUCCGGAUUUAUUGGGUUUAAAGGGUGCGUAGGCGGUUUGAUAAGUUAGAGGUGAAAUCCCGGGGCUUAACUCCGGAACUGCCUCUAAUACUGUUAGACUAGAGAGUAGUUGCGGUAGGCGGAAUGUAUGGUGUAGCGGUGAAAUGCUUAGAGAUCAUACAGAACACCGAUUGCGAAGGCAGCUUACCAAACUAUAUCUGACG
rnacentral:rRNA from 1 species